GAUCAAGCGUCAAAAGGGCAUUCCGGGAAUGCCUUGGCAGUAUGAGGCGAUGAAAGACGUGGCACGCUGCGAUAAGCUGUGGGGAGGUGCGAGCAACCUUUGAUCCAUAGAUUUCUGAAUGGGGAAACCCAUCUCAGAUUUAGUGGUUUUAAGCAUGACCUUAGGGUGGUGUUUGGAUCUACUAAUUCAUAAACGAGAUACUUUAACCUGAAUACAUAGGGUUAAAGAGCGAACGCGGGGAACUGAAACAUCUCAGUACCCGUAGGAAAGGACAUCAACCGAGACUCCGUUAGUAGUGGCGAGCGAACGCGGACCAGGCCGAGCUUUGAAAUAAACUGAAUUGGAUGGAAAGCCAAACCAUAGUGGGUGAUAGUCCCGUAAGUGUAAAAUGAUAAGCCGUUAGAGUAGGGCGGAACACGUGAAAUUCUGUCUGAACAUGGGGGGACCACCCUCCAAGCCUAAGUACUCCAUACUGACCGAUAGUGAACAAGUACCGUGAGGGAAAGGUGAAAAGCACCCCGACGAGGGGAGUGAAACAGAUCCUGAAACGGAAUGCCUACAAGCAGUGGGAGCUCUUCGGAGUGACCACGUACCUUUUGUAUAAUGGGUCAGCGACUUAGUCUCACAAGCAAGCUUAAGCCGAUAGGUGUAGGCACAGGGAAACCGAGUCUGAAUAGGGCGUCGAGUUUGUGGGAUUAGACCCGAAGCCAGGUGAUCUAGUCAUGUGCAGGUUGAAGGUGCAGUAACAUGUACUGGAGGACCGAACCCUUGAGCGUUGAAAAGCUCUGGGAUGACGUGUGACUAGGGGUGAAAGGCCAAUCAAACCUGGUGAUAGCUGGUUCUCCGCGAAAUCUAUUUAGGUAGAGCGUCGUACGAAUACCGUAGGGGGUAGAGCACUGGAUGGGCUAUGGGGACUCACCGUCUUACUGAUCCUAACCAAACUCCGAAUACCUACGAGUAAUAUACGGCAGACACACUGCGGGUGCUAACGUCCGUAGUGAAGAGGGAAACAACCCUGACCACCAAUUAAGGCCCCCAAGUAACGGCUAAGUGGAAAAGCAUGUGGAAAUGCUGAAACAACCAGGAGGUUGGCUUAGAAGCAGCCAUCCUUUAAAGAAAGCGUAACAGCUCACUGGUCAAGCGUUUCUGCGGCGAAAAUGUAACGGGGCUAAAGCCGUUCGCCGAAAUUGUGGACAUGUAAAUGUGGUAGCGGAGCGUUCUGUAAGUCUGUGAAGGUCAAUCGUGAGGUUGGCUGGAGAUAUCAGAAGUGAGAAUGCUGACAUGAGUAGCGACAAAGCGGGUGAGAGACCCGCUCGCCGAAAGUCUAAGGUUUCCUGCGCAAUGUUAAUCAGCGCAGGGUUAGUCGGCCCCUAAGUCGAGGCAGAAAUGCGUAGACGAUGGGAAUCAGGUUAAUAUUCCUGAACCAGGUGGUAGUGACGGAUUGUGGAAGUUGUGUGCCCUUAUUGGAUUGGGUAUGCCGCCAAGCAGUUCCAGGAAAUAGCUCCACCAUUAGACCGUACCCGAAACCGACACAGGUAGACAGGCAGAGCAUGCCAAGGCGCUUGAGAGAACGAUGUUGAAGGAACUCGGCAAAUUACACGCGUAACUUCGGGAUAAGCGUGCCUCUUUGGGUAAUUCCAGAGAGGGUCACAAACUAGGGGGUGGCGACUGUUUAUCAAAAACACAGGGCUCUGCGAAGUCGCAAGACGACGUAUAGGGUCUGACUCCUGCCCGGUGCCUGAAGGUUAAAAGGAGGGGUGCAAGCCUCGAAUUGAAGCCCAGGUGAACGGCGGCCGUAACUAUAACGGUCCUAAGGUAGCGAAAUUCCUUGUCGGGUAAGUUCCGACCUGCACGAAUGGAGUAACGACUUCCCCACUGUCUCCAACAUCGACUCAGCGAAAUUGAAUUCCCCGUGAAGAUGCGGGGUACCCGCGGUCAGACGGAAAGACCCCGUGAACCUUUACUCUAGCUUUACAAUGGCAUUAUCGAUGGCAUGUGUAGGAUAGGUGGGAGACUAUGAAACCAGAGCGCCAGUUCUGGUGGAGUCGUCCUUGAAAUACCACCCUUGUCCUCGAUGAUGUCUAACCGCGGUCCCUUAUCGGGAUCCGGGACCUUGUAUGGUGGGGAGUUUGACUGGGGCGGUCGCCUCCUAAAUCGUAACGGAGGCGCGCGAUGGUAGGCUCAGAACGGUCGGAAAUCGUUCGACGAGUGCAAUGGCAUAAGCCUGCCUGACUGCGAGACUGACAAGUCGAGCAGACACGAAAGUGGGUCAUAGUGAUCCGGUGGUCCUGUGUGGAAGGGCCAUCGCUCAACGGAUAAAAGGUACUCCGGGGAUAACAGGCUGAUGAUGCCCAAGAGUCCAUAUCGACGGCAUCGUUUGGCACCUCGAUGUCGGCUCAUCACAUCCUGGGGCUGGAGCAGGUCCCAAGGGUUUGGCUGUUCGCCAAUUAAAGUGGUACGUGAGCUGGGUUCAGAACGUCGUGAGACAGUUUGGUCCCUAUCUGCCGUGGGUGUAGGAAGUUUGAGAGGAUCUGUCCCUAGUACGAGAGGACCGGGAUGGACAUACCUCUGGUGGACCUAUUGUGGCGCCAGCCGCAGUGUAGGGUAGCUAUGUAUGGACGGGAUAACCGCUGAAAGCAUCUAAGCGGGAAACCUCCCUCAAAACUAGACUUCCCUGAGAGCCGUCGUAGACUACGACGUCGAUAGGCCAGGUGUGGAAGCGUAGCGAUACGUGAAGCUAACUGGUACUAAUUGCUCGAUCGGCUUGAUCCG
rfam:Hirschia baltica ATCC 49814, complete genome.